CUAGAGAAGUGAAAGGAAGCAGGAAUUACAAGUGCAUUUUUGGUGGAUUUGCCUGGGUUAGGGAAAGGGCAAUCAUUUUGAACAGGAAUGGUGGCAAGAAAGUCAGCAGUGGGGUUGGGAAGAUGUAAGUAAAUGCAGGCUUAGUAAGGGUGCAGGCUCCCCAAGACAGUUCCUACCAAUUACCCCCGAAUCUCUUGGCAGAAGUUGGGAAGGAGACACCGGCCUGGUGCAGGUGGAGGAGCUGGGGUGAGAAGUGGCGAGAAUGAAACCACCCCUCCAAGCUUUGCAAGGGGAACAAGGGACCCUCAGAUUGGAGACCUAUCUGCAACCCACUUUGACUUCCUUCCCCCGCUCCCCAGGGGGCUCUCACUCUGUUCAUAGCCUCUUCUUUGCUUUCCUUGCUCUCCCAGCUGUUAAAUUAUGAUUGGACUAGAAUUGAGGGACUUUAAAAUCAGUGCCAUGGACAUUUUGCAACAGAAGGAUCUAACAAACUUCUCCAGCUGAGCCAGUCUCUCAGAUUGAAGCCCGGCCUCCCCUAAGACAGUGGCUCUGGCCUCUGAUUUCGGGAAGGGCCAGUGGGGGCCGGUGGACCGAAGCCUGGGCUUGGAGAAAGAGGACAGUCCAGGUUCCUGUGCUAUGUGGCCACGUACGAGCUGGAGAACAACUCUGAGCCCUGAUGCCUUCAUCCGCUGGACGAGAUGAACUGCGACUCAUGUGAACCCACAUCACUGCGCCUGCAUCACAAAGACAGUGAUGCGGGCGCGGUGAUGGGUCACAAGAGUGGCUGUCCCGAGUGUGUGGACUGUCAGCUGCUCUACAGGGCUCCUCUCCUUCCUGCCCAGUCACAACCUUGCCUCGUGCACUGGAGUUGCCCCUUGUCCACUUAAUCCUAAUCCUUUUCUAAUCCUGUCUUGGUGAGAAGAUAUCAAAUGUCGGCCGCCUAGGCUGCCGGCGCCCCUCCCAUCCGGGUGGGUCUUCUGGGCUCCGCGGGCCGAUACCAUUUCAUGUAUUAUUUGGGCUCACUCACUGGGGUUAUUUUGGAAGCAUGGCUUUGUGAGGCUUCUGGGAGCCGGUUUGAGAAUUACGCAACGGCUUUAGUCUGGUGCACUGAAGCCGCUGCUUCCUGGAGCCAAGGGCCCGCAGCCGGAGACGAUGUGCUGGGAAAGGAGGUGAAAUUGACCUUCUGAGGUUCCCAAGGGACAGAGGGCGUGUUGUCUGUCUUCUCCCCUGAGGCUCCUACGUGAUGGACCUUGGUUGUGAGCUAACUGAUGAGGAGAGGGGUGUGCAGGAGACGCAGAGGAGAUCUUCCAAUCCAGGAAUUGAACCCAUAUCUCCUGCAUCGUCAGGUGGAUGCUUUAUCACCGAGCCACCUGGGAAACCCUAUAUAGGAGUACAUCCUCCAUCGAUUGAUUGUCCAACAUGUGCCAGAAACUUCCAACACAUCACCUUUCUUAAGAUUAUUCUCAUCUAUUGAGGUCCUCUGUGGUACACAUGGAGUAUGAAGGAAGCAUAGGGAGGCCCUACCAGACAUGGACCACUGACCAUUCCCACCACCCCUCCCCCAUGCCACUUCCAACUAGGUGAGAAGGAAGGGACCUCCUGGAGGAGCACUGCUGAAGUAUGUGAUAUCUUAAUUCCUUGACCAAGAAAGGAAGCCACAUCCCCUGCAUUGGAAGCUUGGUGUCUUAAUCACUGGACCACAAGGCAAGUCCCUAAAACUGUCCUAUAGAAAAAAUGUGCAAAAUACAUAGCCAACCCCUUAGUAGGCAUAGAGUAAAAACACAAAAUUUUAUAGAGGUUGAAAAAGCAUCCUCUUUUGUACCAUUUCUUUGAAUAGUCCAUAAGAGUGACAAUUUCAU